GCUAAACGCGAAGAACCUUACCUAGGCUUGACAUGCAGAGUGAUAUAGCAGAAAUGUUAUAGCCCUUCGGGGACUCUGCACAGGUGCUGCAUGGCUGUCGUCAGCUCGUGCCGUGAGGUGUUGGGUUAAGUCCCGCAACGAGCGCAACCCUCGCCCUUAGUUGCCAUCAUUUAGUUGGGCACUCUAAGGGGACUGCCGGUGAUAAGCCGCGAGGAAGGUGGGGAUGACGUCAAGUCCUCAUGGCCCUUACAGGCUGGGCUACACACGUGCUACAAUGGCGGUGACAAUGGGAGGCAAAGGGGCGACCCCGCGCAAAUCUCAAAAAGCCGUCUCAGUUCGGAUUGCACUCUGCAACUCGAGUGCAUGAAGUUGGAAUCGCUAGUAAUCGUGGAUCAGCAUGCCACGGUGAAUACGUUCCCGGGUCUUGUACACACCG
rnacentral:rRNA from 1 species